GUUGUAACAAAUUUACUUUAAAUAUCAGAAGAUUUGGAGGUGUUCCCAUUGCGAUUGUGAGCCUGAGAACUAUAAUAAUGCAUUCCUCAAGUAAAAAGCUGACCUGUUCAGCGAAAACGUGGAAACCCAGAAAAAGAUUCAACUCUGACCCAUUUGGAAGAUACAAUAAGCCUGUGAUAUCCUGUUUGCUCACCAGGGAGUCAUACUUAUCAUUGAAUUGCUACAGCUAGCCAGAAUACAGGUAGUUAUAUAUUCUGUAUGAUCCAAGUCCGUAAAACUGUUCUCAUCUGUUGACUUCAGCAGAGAUGAAUGAAAGAAAUUAAAGGACUGCUGUGAUCCAGGCUCUUCCUGCCAUGUGUAAUGAGCCCAGGAAUAUCUGUGUACAUCAUUCCUGUCCAUUCCAGGAGUUCCCAGGGCGUUGUGCAAACCCUACGGCAGAGACAUCACCAUAACUACAGCUGCCAAGUCACCCCACCGUCUGGGGCCAACUGGUGGCUGCUCAGCAGGGAACGGCUACAUGGUACAGGUAAGUUGUAUCCAUUUGGUUGGGGACCCUCUGGUAAAAGAGGGGGGAGGAAUAGGAAAAAAAAAAGAGAAAAGAACAGAACUAAGAUGAAACAUUUCAGGACGGAUGGGGAAGAUGAGUCCUGUUCCUCACUGAAACUGUCCAGACUCUCUUACCUCUGUCCACGUCGCAUGAUGUGUUUGGACAGCUAGGUGAAUGGCUGGAUGUGUUAUCCAAACACUGAGUAAUGCUUGUCACUGCUCUGCUGUGACACUGACCAGUCAACACGGCUUCCCCUGGGCAUCAGCCACAUGUGAUGGAGGCAGAGAAGAGUGAAUCUGCCUGAAUAAUGCCCACGGACAAUUCAUGUUGCCUCUUUGCUGCUGUUUGGACUAUCUCUGUCUUUUCCAUGUAGUCUUCUUCUUCGGUCCUUACUCCUGCCUGUUGCUUCUUGCUCUGGACUCAAGGCCAUGAGGUGUUUUAAUGGGCGAUUCCACAGUAGGAGAAACCAGCUCCCUUUUCUUCUGGAAAAGGUAGGUUUAAAGGGCCUCCUCAAAAGGUUUCUCUUAGGUUUUCUGAUUAUGUUUCUAGGUUCAGGAUGGGCAAAAAGUAUAAAUUAGGCAAAAGGCUGUAAUAUGCAAAACCUGGAAAACAUCCAAACCUCCCACACUUAGCAUUUUCCACAUACACCUUCCCCCAAAACUCCACAGCUUCAUCGCUAAGAUUAAUGCUUAGUUUCAAACUUAGUUGUAUGUGGCAAAGAAUCCAGCCUAAAGCUAACUGAAUUAGUACCCAGCCCUUGUGUAAUUCAGUAAUCUCCACACAUGCCCAGUAAGGCAGAAUGGAGGGGGAGAGCAAUAGGUUUUGUAAUUGAAAUGCUGUCUGUCUCCUAAGGCUGACUAAAUGAGUUAAAUUUUCUAGGCCUUUCAGAUUGAAGAUUAGCAUUUACAUCUUCAGCCCCAAAUUAUUUAUAAGCAGUUGCAGAUGAUGGCGCACAUGUAGAAAUACCUCAUGGUAAAUACUGCCUUGGGCACAGACUAGUCAGCAUGGAGCAGCAGCUUCCAUAUAGUUUGGAGUUACAGUACUGGACAGAGCAGGUUACAACAACCCAACAGACAGGAGAGGUGAGCUUCUUGCCUCUGAACUGGAAUGAUGCAACCUCCCAGUCAAGCACAACUGAUCAGAUAGAACAGUUCUGGAAAACACAUUUAUUCCUUUCCAGCCUUAAGGACCCUUGUGCUCAGGACAUACUGAUGCGGACACCUGACUUGUAUGGCAGUGUCUUGAAGAAAGCAGCAUAACAGUUACACAGGAAAGUGGUCUGUCCCUUGCAUACCUGGGCUGCUUUAACAACAUGCCAUAAAGGUGUCUGGAAUAGUGCUUCUUUCUCAACCUCUGCCUGUAAGUUCUACCAGGAGGCAAGAGUGCGAUAAGAGUAAGCGCAGUGCAAGAGGGUAGACCACACUCCAACACCAGUUUGGGUGUUUGGACAUGGGUUGAUGGCACUCUGUUGCUUAAAGUCCUGCCUUGCAGCUCCAUACUACAUGGCUGAUUCAUUCAAAGGGUAGUAUGGAGCAUCACCGGGUCUUUGGGUGAUUGUGCAGGAAAGCUGAGGGCUCUUCUAUCCAUAGUACCGGCAGCAAAGCUGGGGUCCUCCAUUGCUGCCUUGGCUAGGACUGGUCACUGAUCCUGACCCCAGGUGGGGUGCUGGAGCCACAGGGCUCUCCCUGUGGGACUCUUUUCACUAGAGGGAAGUGGACCCCUGCCAGCAGGUCUGAAAAGAGGGGUCUUUUGCUCAUUAUCUGGAUGUAUAUUGCCAUUGCUGGUUUUGCUUGUCUUUAUGACUGUGCUCCCUCUUGCCUAAUAAAGAUCCAGGAAUGCAAGUGAGUGGUGGAAAUCCAUCUCUUUAAGAGCUCUUGGGGAGGAUAUUUUAGUUUUCUCAGGUUUCUAAGUGGAGAUUGGAAUUUAGUCCUUUAUCAAGAGGGGCCACGGGUAUAUUAAAUCCAGACGUUUUCCUCCGCUGUUAACCACCUGGCAGAAAGGUUACACUAAUUACAUCAGAUGUAUUUUUCUCAGAUUUUCCUGCUUCUAUUAUGAGCAUGAGGCUUAUGUCAGAGGAACCAGUCUGACAGCUGAGAAAUGCAACCUCUCUUAUCCAUGUCUCACUUCCCACAUUGGCCAAGUGACAGACCCUCAUGGAAGGCAAGGUGUGGACAUAGAAAUGGGCUGGUCAAGGGAGAUGAGCACAGAGCCCCAGGUCCAUAUGCACGUGGCAAUGAGUUGGCAGGCACUGCUCCAGCAGUGUGCAAGACUAUGUGGCUUGGACUUUGGCUUAGUAGGAGCAAUGAAAGUAAUCUUUAUGCUGUGCAAAUGGCUCUCCACCUUCCUCCUAAUGCCCAGCAGACAUUUUUAGGGCUUGCCAUUGUGAGAAUGAUGGGAAUGGUGAAGUAGAUGUUGGCUUGGUCCAGAGUGGGAGGAAGAGAAAUGAACAAGAGCUGGGAAAGGCUAUGUUUAUGAUACUGAAGAUGAGCCUUCAUAUCCUCCAACAAAUCUGUGCCCCUCUACCAAAUACCACACUGUGGCUAGCCAUCAUCUCAAGCCCUGCAGUAUGACUCAUGGGAACUGGGGUACUUGGCCUUUUAUUAGUUGUGUAGUAUUCAGUAUUUUUUCUCUAAGGGUGCAGCAUAUCUUGGACAUGUUAAGCUGUGGGCCAGGCUUUGGUGGAAACUUACAGUGCUUGGAUUUUCCUGGAAAGCAGCAUUAAUUCUUAUCUCCAUCCAAAACCAGAUUGCCCAGAAGUGAGAGUGGCAAAGCCAGGUUUUGGUAGGAAAGAAAACCAUCGUCAUGCUUGAAAGAGAGAAGCACAGUAAAAGCUCACUAUUGAAAAGGGAGAAAAGUAAAACAUGAUUUAACCUUGUUCUUUCAAGAUGAGACUCAGGCAUAAAACCACAUUGUGGGUUAAAACCUUUACAUUUAAAGAUAGGUCUUCAGACACGCUCCCACCAGAUGCUUCGAUAGAUUGGAAAUGAGCACCAGGGAAGAAAUAUGGUAUUUUCUUUACAUGAUGCAACAAGAUGUUGUAUUUCCUGGCCACAUGUAAAACGAAUUUACAACGGAAACAUGCCAGAAAUGCCUGAGGGUAAUGCUAGCCAUAGCAGAACACUGAGUCUUUCUUUUUUUUCUCCAGCUUUUAAUAAUGGGACUGAAUGUCAUUUUUUAAAACAACCCCAGGAUGAGUGGCCGGAGAAGGGAGAUCAAGGGUCCAUAUUUCAUAAGGUACAUCAGGAAAAGGUUAUCGUGUAAUCCGAUCUCAUAUGCACAUAUGUCCUCUGCCACACAUGCUAAGAUAACUCUCGAGGUUAUUUGUUGCAACAGACCCCUAUGGUGAUGACAAUUUGAAAUUAAUGUUAUUACUGUGAAUAAUUGCAUCGUUUUCUCUGAUCCUAGUUAUUCUUCUUUUCUGCUAAUACAUGCAUGUCAAUGCUAAUUGCUGCAGUGACUGUAAACAUUUCACAUGGUUUGCAGUGGGUAGGUUUAACAUCCUCCAAGCAAAGGGGAAAAAUACACUUGGACUCUUUUUUGCCUUGAAACUAUGCAACUGGUUUGCAAAAUAUUUAAGCAUGGGGCUAUCUGAUCUCCGUUAAGGUCAUUGUAACCUAUAAAAACACUCCCACUGAUUUCAUUAGGCUUGAUGUUACACUGAAAGGACCAGAGCAGUCAGAGCUGCCUGUUAGUACAAAGAAUAGAGAAGAGGGAUAACCAAUCUUGCAAUGCAUGUACAAUAGUAAAUUGACCUGCACCGAGUCCUGCAUGUCUCAGAGGGCUGAAUGUCAGUGCUGAGCAGUAGGUGAUGAAAAUCAAUAUGGCGAGAAGAGUGGAUUCAGGUGCUGAUUGCAAUAGUGCAAAACCUCCCUUUCAGCAUAAGCAAUGCCUUACACUUUAUUCAAGGAACAGGAGAAAACACCACUGAGGAGUAAGUUGAGAGACCUGGAAGAUCUUAAUGCCAUAGUUAGGGCUUUUUGCCUUAGUGUCAGCUCCUCCACACUGAUGCACAUAUGCUUUCCUAACCACAAUGCUAUCCGAAGCCCCCAUCUUGGUUAACAUUUCAUCAUUCACACUCCGGGAAUUAUCAUUUCCUCUAGACAUGCUGACAAAGCUCAUUGUUUAUUGCUCACAGCAUGUCAGAACUGCUGGUUUUGCUUUGGACUGCAAGAUGUUUGGAAAGCCACAUGCUUUUUCUGAAGCCGGUUCCAUCCCCUCUGUGCCAGCCUCAGCUGCUGUGUUUGCUUACGCCCAGAAUGCCGGAUCUUGUCCACGAUGAGAAAGAGCAGAGGAGAAUGUCAGCUCAAGACUGACCAAACAGCACUGGAUUUCAUGUAAUCAUGGCCAAAUUCUUCCUGGCAGUCACUUGUACAGCCUUCCCAAACCAAUGGGGGAAGUCUUGAACCACAUAAUCUGAUCUCCCCAGCUAAAACUUCUCCUGGACAACCUGUCCUGCUCAAAGCAGUUCUGCAGGCAGGAGAGAGGAUGCAUGGCAGAGGAGCUGCCCCGGGUUCCUUUACAUGAACUGAAGCCACCCAAAUGCAGGCAGGGAGGGCAAGUGGGCAGACAUAUGUGAUGAGUGGAGGCAGAGUAGCUGGAAUGGACCAAGCUAUAAGUCCAGCACAGCACCGGCCAGGGGCUGACCUCAGUACAUAACGGUUUAUGGCCAGAGGUGAGUGGGGUGAUGGCAGCACUCCUUGUUACAUGGGGCAGAUGUGCUCAAAGGCACAGGGCGCAUCCUUCAACAGGAUGUAGGUCUCUCUGCAUGCAGUGAUUGCUCCCAAGGUUGGGUUGCUUCCCCCAUGGUAACCCCAAAGGGACUAUUCCAGGCCAGGAAGAUAGGAAGGAGAGGUGGUCGGUUUGUUACCACUGGGAAAUCAGAGUGUUUCAAAUAGUUUUUGGGAAGGCAGAAAACUCCUGAGGGUCACUGGCACUGAUGACAAACAGCAGCUUGACCAUGAGCCCAUGGGCAGGUAUGUGUUACUGGGAGUGCUGUCUUUCCUCGCUCCCCACCAGCACCUCACUCUGCCUCGCUUUGCUGUGUUGGCCUGACAAGCUUCUGCAGAUGUGACCCGUCUCUUGGAGCUUGUUAUCCCACAUUUUAUUUGCAUCACACUGGGUCUGCCCAGGUGAUUAAACAAAAGGCAUCUUUUUAUUAUUGUUGUUGUUUUUACUAUGCAAUUGCUAUGUCCUUUAUUAGGGCUUUGCUUUUCCUGUGAGGAAUAAUCCAUGGAAACUUGGACAGGAUCCUUUGGCUCACACUAGAAAAGCGUGCCAUGGAGAAUGGUUGAAAAGAUGUCAUGUUCUUCUUCAGUCGGCUGCAUGUCGACGUGAUAGACAAAAUGAUUUCUCUACAAACAGUCCAAAAUUGCUUUGGGCUCCUCAAGGAAAACAAGAACACAAUUACUCGUUGUUAUCUGUCUUAGCAAAUUGUUUUCUCCACAGUUACAAGUCAAAUAGCUUAACUGGACGCUUGCAUAGCCAGGUAUUGGUAUUGCAAGGAGAGCUGGAUAGCAUUUCACAUUUUCUACUCAAAUUACAAACUUUGAUUACUAUCUCCUGUCAGCAGUCUCAGCAAGAAGGAAGUGUCAUUAUUCGUACUACACUGACAGGGAGAGGGAAGUGAUUUUUCCAGGGUCACCCUGGAAAUGGCAUAGGGUGGACUGCAGUAAGAUUCAGGCCCAUGUUUUGGUGCUCAGUGAUACAGAAUGCCAAAGCUCCUUACUUAACUACAAAAUCUUCAAGAUUUUAUGAACCCAUUUUAACAUGGAUUUCUUCCGUACAGAGAUCUUCAACCUGAGACAAUUAGCCACAUGCAUUUUU